rnacentral:rRNA from 1 species
AUGAACGCUAGCGACAGGCCUAACACAUGCAAGUCGAGGGGCAGCGGGGAGGUAGCAAUACCUUUGCCGGCGACCGGCGCACGGGUGAGUAACACGUAUGCAAUCCACCUGUAACAGGGGGAUAACCCGGAGAAAUCCGGACUAAUACCCCAUAAUAUGGGCUCUCCGCAUGGAGGGUUCAUUAAAGAGAGCAAUUUUGGUUACAGACGAGCAUGCGCUCCAUUAGCCAGUUGGCGGGGUAACGGCCCACCAAAGCGACGAUGGAUAGGGGUUCUGAGAGGAAGGUCCCCCACAUUGGAACUGAGACACGGUCCAAACUCCUACGGGAGGCAGCAGUGAGGAAUAUUGGUCAAUGGUCGGCAGACUGAACCAGCCAAGUCGCGUGAGGGAAGACGGCCCUACGGGUUGUAAACCUCUUUUGUCGGAGAGUAAAGUACGCUACGUGUAGCGUAUUGCAAGUAUCCGAAGAAAAAGCAUCGGCUAACUCCGUGCCAGCAGCCGCGGUAAUACGGAGGAUGCGAGCGUUAUCCGGAUUUAUUGGGUUUAAAGGGUGCGUAGGCGGCACGCCAAGUCAGCGGUGAAAUUUUCGGGCUCAACCCGGACUGUGCCGUUGAAACUGGCGAGCUAGAGUGCACAAGAGGCAGGCGGAAUGCGUGGUGUAGCGGUGAAAUGCAUAGAUAUCACGCAGAACCCCGAUUGCGAAGGCAGCCUGCUAGGGUGCGACAGACGCUGAGGCACGAAGCGUGGGUAUCGAACAGGAUUAGAUACCCUGGUAGUCCACGCAGUAAACGAUGAAUACUAACUGUUUGCGAUACAAUGUAAGCGGUACAGCGAAAGCGUUAAGUAUUCCACCUGGGGAGUACGCCGGCAACGGUGAAACUCAAAGGAAUUGACGGGGGCCCGCACAAGCGGAGGAACAUGUGGUUUAAUUCGAUGAUACGCGAGGAACCUUACCCGGGCUUGAAUCGCAGGUGCAUGGGCCGGAGACGGCCCUUUCCUUCGGGACUCCUGCGAAGGUGCUGCAUGGUUGUCGUCAGCUCGUGCCGUGAGGUGUCGGCUUAAGUGCCAUAACGAGCGCAACCCCUAUCGACAGUUACUAACGGGUCAAGCCGAGGACUCUGUCGAGACUGCCGGCGCAAGCCGCGAGGAAGGUGUGGAUGACGUCAAAUCAGCACGGCCCUUACGUCCGGGGCGACACACGUGUUACAAUGGCAGGUACAGAAGGCAGCCAGUCAGCAAUGACGCGCGAAUCCCGAAAACCUGUCUCAGUUCGGAUUGGAGUCUGCAACCCGACUCCAUGAAGCUGGAUUCGCUAGUAAUCGCGCAUCAGCCAUGGCGCGGUGAAUACGUUCCCGGGCCUUGUACACACCGCCCGUCAAGCCAUGGAAGCCGGGAGUACCUGAAGCAUGCAACCGCAAGGAGCGUACGAAGGUAAUACCGGUAACUGGGGCU